rnacentral:piRNA from 1 species
UCAAUGUCUUUCUCUUCCUUGUAAGGUCC